UAGUAAAUCAAUGUGUGCCUCAUAAUCC
rnacentral:sRNA from 1 species